UCCUCUGCUCUUGSUCGAGUUGCUUCUUGCUUCUAGUUCUGCUCCUGAGGUGUUGUUUGGAUCUCCUGGAUUGACCUUAGACUGAUUACCUUGCUCUGCCUGAUGAUUGCUGGACCUGUUGUUAUGCUGCCCUGCUGUCCUGGCUCAGGAUCCUGUGGGAUGGUGCCUUGUUGAAAAUGUGUUGCUUUUUCAAUCAGAGAAGACAACUUCCCCAGCAAGAUUUCAACUCGGGCACGAAGCAAUGGGAUCACAGUACCUUGCAGGAUAUGAAAUCCCAACACCGCGUCCAAGUUGAGGGCCCGAUACUGACUCUCCAUGAAGACGGUCGCUCUC